UAAAAGGCUUUUUCUUUAUUAUGUUUGUUUAAUAAAGUCCCUAGAAUAGCUAGUCCGUUUAAUGUAUCAAGUGUGACUUAAUCAUGAGAUCACAUUAAACAUAAGAACACUAUUCUUAAACUAUCCAUAGUCGAGCUUUAUUGUAAAGUGGGAUAACAUUAAAGCAUUAAGACUAUUAUGUAUAUAGACUGAUGAUCACAUCUCAUGGAUCAUGGAUAAGGUGUUAUCAAGUCUUAAACAUAGGUAUG
rnacentral:lncRNA from 1 species